AUGCCCUUGUUCCAAUGGCAGGAUGCCGGUCUCCAAAACCGUGCGGUCUGGGUUCGAGUCCUAGAGGGUGUGCCA
rnacentral:tRNA from 2 species